CAACAGCAAGCGCUGCGCGCGCAGCGAAGAUUCACUCCGCGUUUCGUAGCCACGACGAGGAACGACGAGCGACGAUUGUGACUUCUCUUUUCCCGCGCCACCGUAAUUGUAACACACGUCCGUGGAAAAUUAAUAACGACGCCUAUUAACUAUGAACGCGAACGUGUUCGACGUGCAACAGUGUAUUCAAAAUCUGUUGACGAGUACGUCAAGCAGAACAACGGCUGGUCCAAGGAGCACAGUAUCAAAAAUCGCUGACUUACCGGAACCCAGGAACAAAUGACGAGCGGACUAAGCGGACUAAGUGGACUAAGUGGACUGCGUCGAUCAAGUGAGGGUUAAGAAACCGGCGCGCGGGAAAAAAACUGUCGACUGAACCGGAAAUGCAGGGAUGAACAUGGCUGCCGUGGAUAUCCGUGGAUAGGUGACGACGCUACAGUAUUGUACGAUGGAGAUUCCUGAAGCUUGGUGGGAGCGUUACCGUGAACAUUCGAAGAUUUAAUAACGAUCAUGGUGAAAAGGACGGUCGAAGCUGGCGAGGAUCCUCGAAUAAGCUGAAGUUGCAGGAACGUAUCCGUGAAUACGUAAGCUUUCCGUGAACGCGUCAGGUUUUCUACGAUCAGCGUGUUCUGGCGGCGGCCCUAACCUCCCAUUCGCGCACGCUGGCAGAUUCGUGGGCAGUUGAACGAGAAAUUAUAAGGUGAAAUCUAGGAGGCCUAGAAGGUACCAGGCUCGGCUUAGGGGGUGCUACAGAGUACUGGGCUUCCGAAUGUCUUCCAUUUCGUUCGUGUCUCCGUUGAACGCAGCGAAGAGCUCCAGUCAGGUGAAUCGAGGCGUUGUUCCAUGGAAACUGUAGCAACGGACGAGAGGAAGCUCGCAGAAGGGUUCACGCGUUCAAAAGGGCUAAACGCGACGUGUCACGACCGCCGUUGGCGACGUUCGUUCGUUCAGAAAGCCCAGAAACCCUUCGGGACCCUUCGUUAAUGGAGCGACGCGUGAUCAUUAAAGUGAUUGCCGUCGAAUCGCGUCGAAAUCGUGGAAACUGCGCUGCGUUUUGACACGGUGUACACGUGUCGCUACGUGGGUUCCAAUGUGGGCUGCCACCGCGAUAAUUGAACGUAAUGGCGGUAGCGAGGCGUUUAAUUUAUUUAGGAGUCCGCCGUUCAGAAAUUCGAGCGCGUUAUCGAACGGGACCUUUCGUUUUCCGCGCGAAGCGACACCGCCGUUACGCGAAAACCAGGCCCUUCAAGGAAGGUUGGACUGCUAAUGUGGAACGCGCGUCACGCUUUAGCGCGUGCAGUUUAGCAGCGUCGAACAUUAAACUGCAGCGAGCCAGUUCAUCCUGCCGGUAGUUUAUCGUUGCAGGAUUUCCUCCUUUCGUCGUUUGCCCGCCGCGGCCUAAUGGGAACAUUUACACCGAAGGACUAAACCGCUUCUGAACCCGACGUUGAAGCAUUACAAGGUACCCGUGAAAAAUCGAUAGCCCGUAUGGCUGUUGCUGCGCUUGAAACGAAGAAUUAUUCGACGUUACUCGCUCCUCCGUUUUUCGAGCACAAUGCAUCCGCGAAUUAUUCGAUUAUUAAGCUAGGCGUCUAGUCUAGCGAGAAACAAGCUUACUUUCGAAAACGUUUUUCUCGGCUUCUUUAUUAAAUAUUACAAUUAGAAAUUUGUCUCGUACCAAUAUCAGGAGUAGAAUACUUCUACCUAGAACUUCGCCGUGGUCGCUAAGUUUUCAAUCAUUUAAGACCGACGGAAUUAACUCCCUGUUUUAUUAAGUGCAAGUGCAAAUAUUUCAUAAAAAAAUGUCUAUAUUAUUUGAAAGUUGAAAAUGAAGAAGCUUCUCCUCUUCUUCGGUCAGAAGACAUGAACGUAAGUACAUUAUUACUUUACGUUUAAUUUCACCCGUGUCAUCCUGGU